AGGAUCAUUAUUGAAUAAACCUGAUGUGGUUGUAGCUGGCUUUUCGAAGCAUGUGCUCGCCCGUCAUCUUUAUCUCUCCACCUGUGCACCUUUUGUAGUCUUGGAUACCUCUCGAGGAAACUCGGAUUUGGGAUCGCUGUGCUGUACAAGUCGGCUUUCCUUGCAUUUCCAAGACUAUGUUUUCAUAUACACCAAAGAAUGUUUAAAGAAUGUCAUCAAUGGGAACUUGUUUCCUAUAAAAACUAUACAACUUUCAGCAACGGAUCUCUUGGCUCUCGCAUCGAUGAAGAACGCAGCGAAAUGCGAUAAGUAAUGUGAAUUGCAGAAUUCAGUGAAUCAUCGAAUCUUUGAACGCACCUUGCGCUCCUUGGUAUUCCGAGGAGCAUGCCUGUUUGAGUGUCAUUAAAUUCUCAACCACACUUAAAGUGUUGGCUUGGAUAUUGGGGGUUUUAUUUUGCAGGCUUUUGAAAGACUAGAGCCAGCUCCCCUAAAAUGUAUUAGUAGUAUCUGAGCAGAGACUACCAUGGGUGUGAUAAAUAUCUAUGCCUUGGUGCCACUGCAUGAACGGAUUACACUGCUUAUAACAACACAAACAUAUAUGACAAAUUUGACCUCAAAUCAGGUAGGACUACCCGCUGAACUUAA
rnacentral:rRNA from 1 species